rnacentral:piRNA from 1 species
UUCGAUAGCCAGCCACGAGCAAACAGGU